AGAGUUUGAUCCUGGCUCAGAGCGAACGCUGGCGGCAGGCUUAACAUAUGCAAGUCGAACGGGCACCUUCGGGUGUCAGUGGCAGACGGGUGAGUAACACGUGGGAACGUGCCCUUUGGUUCGGAACAACUCCGGGAAACUGGAGCUAAUACCGGAUAAGCCCUUCGGGGGAAAGAUUUAUCGCCAAAGGAUCGGCCCGCGUCUGAUUAGCUAGUUGGUGAGGUAAUGGCUCACCAAGGCGACGAUCAGUAGCUGGUCUGAGAGGAUGAUCAGCCACACUGGGACUGAGACACGGCCCAGACUCCUACGGGAGGCAGCAGUGGGGAAUAUUGGACAAUGGGCGAAAGCCUGAUCCAGCCAUGCCGCGUGAGUGAUGAAGGCCUUAGGGUUGUAAAGCUCUUUCGGCGGGGACGAUAAUGACGGUACCCGCAGAAGAAGCCCCGGCUAACUUCGUGCCAGCAGCCGCGGUAAUACGAAGGGGGCUAGCGUUGCUCGGAAUCACUGGGCGUAAAGGGCGCGUAGGCGGGUCUUUAAGUCGGGGGUGAAAGCCCAGGGCUCAACCCUGGAAUUGCCUUCGAUACUGAGGAUCUCGAGACCGGAAGAGGUGAGUGGAACUGCGAGUGUAGAGGUGAAAUUCGUAGAUAUUCGCAAGAACACCAGUGGCGAAGGCGGCUCACUGGUCCGGUUCUGACGCUGAGGCGCGAAAGCGUGGGGAGCAAACAGGAUUAGAUACCCUAGUAGUCC
rnacentral:rRNA from 1 species